AUUUCAGCCUCCUGCCUGCUAGACCAGACCUGAACCAUAUAUUGGCUAAUCAACACCCUACAUCAUUUGCCAGAGAAUUUUCUCAGCUCUUACAAGCAGGACGCUGUCUCUGGCUGUAACAAAAAGAGUUUGGUGGAGGUGGCAAAUAGAGCUCUUUAUGUCCCAUAACUUCCCUGCCCGCUGCCAGCUUGGUCAUGGAUGUGGAAAGAUAGAAGAUGGUUGAGAGGUUCAUUGCAAGAAAUGAUACCUCCCCUUUCCAGAUCCCUCCUGAAAACCCCUCCAAGAGACAAAGCCUGAGGAAGCAGCACUAAGAGAAAUAACAUCUCCAUGGGCACUGGGAAUGGGACUGCAGCUAUGAUGAUCUCCAGACUGAAGCAAAGCAAAGUUAGGGAGAGGUGAUGCUUCCAAUAAAAGAAUUAUGAAACUAUUCCCAUCGGUGGCCUGUCCUCUACCCGCAGUAGUGACGGAGAAGUUAGCUGGAUUUCCGUCAGCAGAACAAUUUGAGUGUGGACUCCACUGCUGCAAAUUUAGGAAAGCUCUCCAUUUGCUGCCUGCCAAGGAAACAGGAGCAGGGGAUGUUGGAGAUGCCAAUGGAAACACAGACCAUACAACCCCCAGCUUCAGGCCCUGGAGGAGAGGGGUGCUCUGAGGAAGCCUGAAGGAGUGCUGGAAGUGGGAGUGACCAACACCUGAGGACACUGCUGGACAUUCCCCUGAGCCAGUGCCACCUUCCCAGCAGCUUCUUCAAGCCACACUUGUCAAAGAAAGCAUCUGGUAAAAGAUGAAAAAUUACCUUUUUUCCAAAUGACCUUUUGGAAAAGAUCACCAUUUGGAAAGAGUCCUUUUUAUUUUUUUUAAUAGUACAUUGGAAAAUGCUGAUUUUUAUUUUAUUUUUUUCCCGUCCAUUUUCAUUUUUUCCUCUCAUUCUCUCUUUCUUUUUUUUUUUUUUUCUUUUCCAUUUCCAAAAUCUGGAUCCUCUGGUCCUCCCAUUAAACAAAAAUGUUCCUUUGAGUGGGAAGCUGCAGGGAUGUGUCUGGGUGAAGCCUCCUAGGGAUGUCUGGCCCUGAGCUUGGUGGGAACGGGCAUUCAUUCACUCAGAGCAGAGUUUUUUUGUGUGGUAGUCUCUGAACAGUCCCUGGUAUCUGCCUGCUCUGUUUCAAAUGUAAGUCAUUCAAAACAUUCCCUGUGUUUUUUUGCUCGUAAAACUGCUGAGGUACAUCCCGCACAGUGAACAAAUUACUCAGCUUUAAGUAGAUAUUUAUGCUAAUUAUCCAUGGGAAACUCCUUCUGCCAUUGUAGUUUUUCAUCUGCUGGCACAAUAUUCCAGAGGUUUUAUGUGGCGUUAACUAUCAGCAGUAAAAUCCCCUGAAAGUAACAUGAGAAGGAAAAAUCUGUUCUGCAUACAUUUAUUUUCUUUAAAUGUUCUUGAUUUGCCAUCUAUGAGAUGAAAGUGUUUACACUCAGCACUCCCUCCCCAUCACUGCAGCAGCCUACUCUCCCUGCCUGCUCUUGCCUCAGUUUAUUUACUGAAGAAUAUUCGUAUUUUGUAAAUCCCAGGUAUUUAUUCCCUUGAUUAUUUUGGCAUGGUGCAUUUUGAGGAUGCUUGCUUUGUUUUAAGCAAAUCUUUUUUCGGCCUUUGAAAAGCAGAGCACUAGUAAAAACAAAGGCAACAGCAAUAUUUGUUAAUGUAAGUCCACGCUCCUAAAAUAUUUAUUCUUUUUUCAUAUGAAGAAGAUUAAAUGCUUGCAAAAUUCUACAGACACAUGCACAUAUUUGACCCAGAAGGAUGUCUCUUGGGAUUUGUAACAGCAAAUGUGUGUUGAACAAAACGUCUUGGCCCUGUACAAACUUACUUUGUGUUCUGAAAGCCAAAAACUUCAUUUUAGCAUGACCUUAGAAGAAUAGUGAUACUUUUAGUAUUUCCUGGUAUUUGGUGCAAGGAAUGUUUUUAUUUGAAUGCAGAUGUCAUUUGGUUUACAGGAAGGAUUUGGUAACAUGUCCAUGCCAGUACUGCACUUAUCCCAAAUUUCCUGCUAUGGAGGAAGAACAUAUGUCAAAGCUCACUGUUUGUUAAAUUGAAAAGAUUCAGUACACCAGAAGCUUCUCUUCUAAACAUUGUGACUUUGUGCAAUUUACAGAAUGUUCUAUCUCCAUUAAACAAUAAACCCUUGACCCCUGGAGCUGGCUUUCAGGAUCCUGCUAUUUGAGAAGGUAGACAUAAUGGAUGGCAAUAAUAAAUGAAAAGUUCAGGAGGUUAAGAAAAACUGUUUAAUUAUUUCUCUAGAGCGUGGGCUGCAGAAGAAUUGCAUAUCUGCCUUCUCUCCUGCAGGAGCCCUGCAAGGAAUGACUGGGGCAGUGCAGCUCGGGCAGGGGAUAAAGCAGGUUGCUGGCCCUCAGCUGUGUUUAUGAACAAACAGUCUCUGGAUACUCUUCCAUCGCUGAACCUUUCAGCUUUCUGUGAGUUAACUCCCUGCCAGCAGCGAGCCUGUGCCAGCCCCACAAACCUCAGCAUCUGUUUUGCAAGGCUCUUUUAUUUGUUAGCAUGUGAAAGCUAUUGCUCAUGUGUGCUUCCCAGCUGUGGUGUGCUUGGGCUUGGUAUCUUUAAAGAAAUCUUUGCUUUAUUUGCUUGUUGAACCCAGACACACACAAAGCACAGAGUUCUCCCCUCCCUGCAUGAGCCAGUAAUGCAACCUCUGCUGACAGGUCCCCCUUCCCUGCCUUUCCUCCAUGCAAACCCAGGACAAACUUCAUGACAAGAAAAUCAGGAGGCUUUUCCUCCCUUCCCUUGAACAGGGAGCUCUCCUUUUUACACUCCUGUUUGGUUUCUGUCACAGCACUUGCUGCAUUCAAUUAUCCCAUUCUGUAUCAUGGGACCGAGAGCCCCGAGCUAAAAUCAUCAUGCUCUAGUUAUGCAAGUCACUGUACAAACAGCCAGCCAGGGAAAGGCUGCUCCAAAAACAUCCACGGCAGGGCAAGGGCUGAGGCAGACACAGGGAUCAGGACUCAUCACAUCCAAGCCCAAGCACAUCCACGGCAGAGCCUAAUAUAGGAUCCUGCUCAAGGUCUGGCCUGUGGCCACCUGCUGAUAAUAUUUCCUUCUCUUGGACAUGCAAAAUCAUGGAAUGGUUUGGUUUGGAAGGGACCUUAAACAUCACCUAAAUCGAACCCCCUGCCAUGGGCAGGGAGAACUUCCAUUAUCCCAGAUUGCUCCAAGCCUCAUCCAACAUGGCCUUGGACACUUCCAGAGAUGGGGCAGACACAGCUUCUCUGGGCACCCUGUGCCAGGGCCUCCCCACCCUCACAGCCAAGAAUUUUUUCAAUGCCUUUUUUUGUGGCAUCUCUUGGGACUUCUUCCAUGUACCAUGGAGUCUUCCAUGUCACAUGGAGUGUGGCAGGACACAGGUGUGUGUUGGAUGCAGUCGUGGGGUCACCCAAGGAGGAGCUGGAGUGUCUCUGUCACUGGGACACAGCCCUGCCCUGAAAUGGGAACACCCCGGUGAAUCUCCACCAUCUAAUUCUGAGGGCAAAUGCUCUGCUUUGGGCUCACAGCUUGCCAUGCCAGAUACCUGGCAUGGUUUAAUGGCAGGAUUGGCAGUGCUGCUUUAACUCUUUGGACUCAGUGACCUUAAAGGCCCUUUUCCAAGCCAAAUGAAUCUAUGAUCCAUGUUUAACUCCCUUUUUAUGUGUCUUGCAUAGCUCAAGGCUUCCUCUGAGGGUGUUUUGGGAAAGGAAAUUCAUCAUUUAAUGCUGAGGCCAGCAGAUGGAGCAGACCUUCCUUUGGGGUAAAUCAGCUUGUAUUUGUGAUCUCCAAGACUCUAGAUCAGUGUGUCAGCUAGAAUGUUGGCCAAAGGCUUUUUAUUACUAUUUUAUGACAGAUUUGGAAAGGGUUUUAAUAGCUUUUCACACUCUCUUUCUCCAUCUAAUUGCCUUGAUCUGCAGCUCAUACCAUCAGGAGUCAUUUUCCCAAGAUGGGCCUGAUGUAAGAAGAAUGGCUUGACUUUGUUCUUUCUAAAUAACCCCCUUUAAAUCAGCUUUCCUUCUCUGCCUGCUGUGUGGGAUAUGAAAGCACCCCAAACACAACACAAUCCCUCUGGUGUCCCCACAGCUCUGUCAGGAGGGUGGGAAACGCGACGUCACUUUGUGACCCUGGUGGAACCCUCUCUGUUUAAAUAAACAGCCCAGGUUUCAUGUAAUGUUACACUCCAUGGGGAGCCCUGGGACAAUAACAGAGCAGGAACCACUCAUAUGGCUCCUCUGGGAUGGAUCAACAAACAGAAGGAGUGUUGGGCCCACGUUGGAUGGGACGUGUCCCCAGUCUGCCACCCAAAGAGCAAAAUGGCUUCCCAUGGCCACCACCUGUAAAGCACCAAAAAACCACUUUGGGUGGAAUAUUCUUCAGGCCCAAAGUAAGUUCUAAGCAAAAGUACACAUGAACAUCGUUUCCAAGCAUAGAUUUGAGGUUAAAAGGUCUAAUGCUUAUUGUUGCUAAGGAAAUGGAGGGGGUGAUCCCCAAAAAACAUGUUUGCAAGCACUCUCCUUUUGCACCCCUGAGGCUGUGAUGCAGCUUCCUGCCCAGGUUUGGUUUCUUUCUACAAAAGACAUUAUUUAGGUCCAUCAGCCAUAGGAACAGAAUUCAGCCAAGGCCUGCAGGUGAUGAGAAAAUAAAAAAGUCCAGAGAGUGGGAAGACAAUCUGUUUAUGGGACAUGGGAGCUCAUCCUGGCAGAAUCUCCAAAGCAGCGGGAUUUCUCCUCUCUGUCCCAGUCCUGGAGUACGUGACAUUUUCCUCACACUGGCUACUUCUACAAUGAGAAAACCGUGGGAUUUUGAGGUCAGUCUUCCUUGGUAAAUUCCCCAUCAGCUAAUGACUAAAAUAACGAUUCCCCACCCUGUCCCCUCCCUUCCCCUCAUGGGUGUGGUGGGAGAACAGUCUCAUUUCCACUCAAGAAGGUGUAAGGAGGAGCUUUGGCUCCUGGUAAAAGCUGUCCCCACUUGACCUGGCUGCCAGUGGUAUCUGUCCCUUUGGCCCAGAGGUUCAAGGAGACCAAAUGGGAUCGUGACCACGUCCCUCCCUUGGAUGCUGCUGGCCACACAACCUGGCAAGCCCCAGGCUGGGAAACCUUCACUGCAUCCUUCUCUGGGCACACUGAGUGGCUCUUGGCUCCAGGCCACCGGGACAGCUCCACAUCCAGCCGGAAUCCCAGCAGCUCCUGUCCAACCACAGCACAGAGCAGACUUUGGGCCAUGUUCAAACCACUCACUGCAGCCUCAGUGAGAGAUUUAGGCACUUGGACUUGCAAAUGACCCAGGGUUUUUCCACCUUUCCCAUGUUGUUAUUGCUUCAUUCUGGAGUGCCUUCAAAACUUCCAUUUUUCUGGAGCCAAAUGUGAUCAUCUCAUGUAAUGUUUCCCUUCUACCUGAACACAAAACCUCAGCCAAAAAAUAUUGUUAGUUCCUCAUGGCAAUGUCACCAACUGCAGGCUCUCUGUCUCCAGGGUUCCUCAGGCAGCUUUUCUCUCACCACAGGCUGACAGGUACAAGCAAAACCAACACAGCAACCAGAGAAAACCCUGAACUCACCAGUCCAUCCUGAAAGAAAAUGGAAAAUGUGCAGCCUCCUCUCAGGAGAUUUUGGGAAUACCUUCUUUUGGGGGAGGACACCCUGCAGCACACAAGACACAUGUUUGAAGUGGGAUAUGAAAAAAUCCUAGGGUGUUUUUUUGGUUCCCAUCAUGUGCCAGCAAUGAUGCCUCACUUCUCCAAAGCCACCCUUCAGCCAGGACAGGUACAGACCCACCACCAUCUUGGGUUCCUCUUUUAGAGCCACUCAAGUACCACUGAGGGUCCCAGUUUCUAAGAAAUAGGUGGCACCAUACCUUGGCAAUUUGGUGGUGGACCAAACCAACCAUGAUGGGAAGUUUUCUGCUCCUGGUCCUUCAUCCAGAAGAGACUGGCAUGCUGAAGUCCCUCCCUCCCUUGGAAAUGUCCCUCAUCAUCUUUGCACUGCAGCACCAGGAGGGAGCCCCUCAGCUCUGCCAGAGGAGCAAGGGGAACCUCAUACAAACCUCUUAGGGACACCCUGGCCAGGGAAAAGCCAAUGAAAAUAAUGACUCACUUGACCCCUCACAAGACAGCCAGCACCCAAAAGUUUUCCGCACAGUGUUAAAAACACCAUGCACUGGCCUCAAAUCUUGCCGGCCACGCCAGACUCCCACCUGUUUAUGUGGAAAACUUUAUGUACCCAAAGCAUGAAGUUUUUCAGCAUAAUGUGUUGGCUGGAUCAAGGUUUCCAUGUGCUCCAGUGCUGUCAAAAAGCAAUGUCUCAGCCAACACGGGAUGCUGCAAAGAGGGCACAGAAAGUUUGAGUCUUCAGGAACUCAUUUGCAGCAGCUCCCUCAUUCCUUAGGUACUCAGAGACCUCUAACCUCCUGCCCUUUGAUGCACAGAGUGCAGACUGAAGGCAUCUCUGGAGGAUGAAAGAAAAGCCCCACGCCUGCACUGCUUUGCAGCUGUGCCCUGGGGGAGGGCCUGGACAGAGGUAAAACAACUGAAACUGGCAGGAUGGUGAGUACAAAAUGUGGCAAAAUAGAGAGUGGGCUUAGGUAAAACAGUGCAAGAGGCAGGGCCUAAAAGGAGAAGAGCAGAUGAUAAAAAGCCUUGUUUGGAAAUAAGCUGUGUGGACUCACAUGGUGACUCCUGGGGCAUCCUGUGCAGGGCUGAGAGUUGGACUCAAUGAUUCCUGUGGGUCCCUUCCAAAUCAGAAUAUUCUGUAAUUCUGUGACUCUGCACAAAAUGUUUGUGGCAAAAGGUGAAGUGCAAACAUCCUCUUUCAGGAAAAUUGCCUUUGUGCAGGAGCAGUGUCAGGACUAGUGCUGGCUGGUCUUAAUCUAGGAUGAGGGACUUAACUAUUAAGAACCGGGGAAGGUACCUGGACAAAGGCAACAGCACUCCCAGAUGCUCUGGAACCCAUGAAUGAGACGUGGUACAACCUCCCAGCCAGGUCCUGGGCAAAGGUCUUACAUGUCCUGAUCCCAAAGUUCAGUCUUCUGUGCUGCUAUUUGAACACUUGCAGCAUGUUCCCCCUCCUGAAAGGGUGGAGAACAGAGAAUUUUUCCUUCAGCCAUGGAAAUGCAACACUAUUCAUGCUGGACGGACUUGGCAGGUUUGGAACUCAGGGUCAGAACUGAAGUCAGAUCAUUUUGCUCAGGGCUUUUUUUAGUCAGAUCUAGAAAACCUCCAGUUUUUCACACUCCAAAUUUCUGACUGGCUUUAAGUUUCCUUAUGAACUUCCACUUCCCAGGCUGAACAAGAUCUGAUCCUUCUGCACCUCCCUGUAGGACCAUCCAGCCCAUCAUGGUGGCCAUCUGCUAAACUCAGCCCAGUUCAUUGGCAUUUUGCUUGUGCUGGGGACACAAACCUGGACACUGCAUCCCAGACAAGAUCUAAUGGUCCCUGGGCAAUGGGAAUAGUCACAGCCCCUCAUCUGCUUGCUGUGCUCCUGCUGCACAUUUCUCACAUGUCACAAUUUGCCAAGGGUGUCUCAGCAAGCAGUUAGAAAAGCUCCUGGUUGGAAUAAUCUCCAAUUGCAGAAUGCAGUUGCAUUUCUCAAACCCAAGGCAAGAAAACAUCAAAUAGUGAUAAUCAAAAGUGACGUCGUUUGACUGAAAAAUACACAGCCCAAUUAUUACAAAUCCUGGCGAUGAUUUCUCUUGCUUCUUCCCUGGAGAAGCCAUGCUGCCAAGGGCUGGGUGUCCUGGGGACAGUCACACUGAGGCAAUGCCAUUCUCCCGUGCUGAGUUUUGCUCUUGGACACUGAUGAGUUGAACUCUGAGUUGAUCGAGGUCCCGGGACUGCAGCGGUGAGUGACAGCUUUGUUAAGCUGUGAUUGAUGACUCUGCUACCAAAUUCUGAUUAAUGUUUCCUCCCAAAGCCUCCUUGCCCUCGCAAUAUGCUGUCCAUUAGCCCCUGCCAAUAUCUGCCUGGAAUAACCUCCUGGCUGUGAUGGGCGUUGUGUGAUUAUGGUUAUCUAAACGUGUGAAUAAUUGGGAGGUUAUGCCAUAUUACAUGCUUCAUCAAGUCCUCUAUUCCAGUUUCAGGGAAACAUUUGAAGUUCAACACUAUGUCUCAAUUAUGCCUGAAUUUCUGGCAAGGGGAAAAAAAAGUCCCAUUAACGAAGCUGUCAAAAACACAUUCUGCUUUAAAUUUCCUGGGACAAUUGGACAAUGAAACUUGCUCACUCAGUAAAGAGCUGCUUUCUCCUCACAGCAUUAACAGGCUCUUGGAUUUAUUGGAUUUCUUUCUUGCUUGGGCUCUGAAAUGAGAUCUUGAUAAAAAGGAGUUGCACAGUAAAUGAGUAAGCUCUGUAAACAAUAAAUUCUGUGAUGAAACAUUUAUCUCCAGACAGUCUAUAUGGAAAGCAAUGCUGUUCUGGUGGGAUAUGGAAUGAGUUUGCACUGUGGUGAUAUUUGCAAAUGAUAAAAGAAAUAAAAUAGGUCUGUUGUUGCAGUGCUGGGACAAUCUCGUUACUGAAAGCAAGACUUUAUUCUCACAUGUGCUCUGGAGGGCAUGGGUCUGGCCUGGGACUCUGCCCCAGGCAGCUUUACACUUCAGAAUUUUUAUGGGGAACAAACCUAUCAAUAUUCUGACAAAUUCCUUUGAA